GACCCAAUAACUUCAUCAAAUGGGAACAAGUUACCCUAGGGAUAACAGCGCAAUCUUAUUCUAGAGUCCAAAUCGACAAUAGGAUUUAUGACCUCGAUGUUGGAUCAGAACAUCCUAAUGGUGUAACCGCUGUUAAAAGUUUGUUUGUUCAACGACUGAAGUCCUACCUGAUCCGCGAGGUCAGGAGAUCAAUAGUAUCCUGGC
rnacentral:ncRNA from 1 species